rnacentral:rRNA from 1 species
UGAGCAAUCUGCCCUUCUCUUCGGAAUAAGCGUUGGAAACGACGUCUAAUGCCGAAUACGACCUCCUUUCGCAUGAUCGGAGGUGGAAAACUCCGGCGGAGAAGGAUGAGCUCGCGGCCUAUCAGCUAGUUGGUGUGGGUAAUGGCCCACCAAGGCGACGACGGGUAGCCGGCCUGAGAGGGUGACCGGCCACACUGGGACUGAGAUACGGCCCAGACCUCCGUACGGGAGCAGCAGG